UCGACCCCACGCCACGCAGAGGUGAAGAUACGCAGGACGUCCUCUAAAGCAACUUCCGUGGGUGCCAGGUUGUGGGCUGGGGGCGGUGCUGACCUUGAGAGAGCGGAGGAGGCGCAGGCGCAGCACAGGUACGUGGGCGGGCGGAUCGUGGUGGCUGCGCUUGCGAGGACCCUGAGGUAGAUUGGGUGGUUUCAACAGGAACGCAUCCACUGUCUGAGAGUUUAAACUUGAUUUUGUGAGGGGACGAACAGCGUGACAAUUAAAAGAAGAUCUGGGAAUCAUCCAAUGUGAUAAUUUAUGUGAAAUCUUUCUGCAAACUAUACAGUAUGAUAAAAAUAUAAGGUAGUUUCACUGGAAACAACAGAAGACUAGAAGCUGAUGUGACGUGGCAAUAUCAACCAGGAAUACCCAUCUCGAGUUCUGGAUAUGUGCUCUGAGAAGGUGCCCAUGUCACCGACCACACUGGAGGCCAAUGCAGAUACUGGGGGAAGGUUCCAUGGUAGCUAAGUGUGGACAAGCUAAUCACUGAAGUUCCCUGAUGCAGAGUUGAUAAUCUCUCUAGAGUUGGAUGAAAGACUGUGCUGCCUUGAAGCUCUGAGAGAUGCCAUGCCAAUUCAAGGCAGGGUCUUUAUUGUUGAAACUCUUGCGUAAUGACAUCUUUAUUCAGGUGAAAAUACAGGAUGAAUUUCAACUAUAUGAUAUUGUUUAUGUUCCUCAGACAUGUUAUUUGUCUUUACAAAGAUUGGUUUCAAUAAACUGUGUGACUGAUAUUAAAUAAACAUGGAAUUUUACACAUUCAUAAUAUUUGGUUUCUUGUGAUUUUGAUGAACUAUACUUUCAAGCAUUGUCAGUUCAUCCUCAUUUACAAGGAAACAUUUGCUGUAGCAGAGUGAUGUAGUGACUUGCUUUACUUAAGAUAAGUCAACUUUUCUAUUCAAUGUUUAAUGUGAAACUGACUUAAAAAUUUUCUUUUAGGCCACAUUUACAUUUCUGUUUGUAUAACAUGCAUUAUACUAUUUUAACUUAAUACUAUGGCUAUAUAAACCAAAGACAUCCUAAUUCUGUUUUUAAUUUAUUGUUUUGCAAGAUAAAUAAUUUUUAAUGCACUAAUGAAGCUAAGGAGUUCAUAUUAAAAGACAUGUUAUAUGACCUACUGAAGUUGAGCUAUG
rnacentral:lncRNA from 10 species